rnacentral:tRNA from 1 species
CUGGAUUGUGGCUCAGUGGUAGAGCACUUGCCUGGCAUGCAUGAGGCACUGGGUUCAAUCCCUGGCACCAGA